GGGUCUGUCCAGCAGAAGAGCUGGUCUGGGAGGGCGAGGUGGCUUCUCUAGUUUGUGGUCCCGCUCUCCCUCAGGGCAUUCCACUGUCAUACUCAGCCCUCCAGAUGCACUGCUGCUGGUGGAGGUAUUCCGGCGAUGGGUCAAGUCAGACAUACUAGAAGAACGGGAGUGCUCCGUGCUGUAACCAGAGAUCUUGGACUGCUGGCUGGCAUAGCUGGAGUUCCGCGAGUGCCCGGAGUGGAAGACUUCCUCUGGG
rnacentral:lncRNA from 1 species